rnacentral:lncRNA from 1 species
AAAAAGAAAAAACUAGAUCUAUGGUGAUAAUCGCGAAUGACUCUCACCAUCGACUCCCUCAAGAAAACCCACAUCUGGAAGCGUGUCUCUACAUCUCACGAAAGUGAUAAUAGCGUUUCUGAGUAGAAACCACUCAGAGUUUCUUCCACUCAUCUCUAAUCCAUGGAAUCUCCAUUUGUCACCUUCGAUCUGUGUUCGUCGUCAUCUUCGAUUGCCAUCAACCAUUGUCACCUUCUAUUUGUGUUUUCCUUUGCCAGAUUCAAGUCCUUCAUGAUUUAGAAAUGUGUUUUGGUAGUGUGGCAGCGACUGUUCCCUUUGCGAGGACUACGUUUUUUUGUUGGGGAAAACAAGUAAUAAAGAAAAGCUUUCUUCAUGGUCUCUGGUGAAAGCAAGUAAAAAAGAAAAUCUUAAUACAUUGCAAAUUGGAACCAAAGGUUGCGACUUAAAUAGUUGUUCUCAUUC